AACGAACGCUGGCGGCAUGCCUAACACAUGCAAGUCGAACGAGACCUUCGGGUCUAGUGGCGCACGGGUGCGUAACGCGUGGGAACCUGCCCUUAGGUUCGGAAUAACUCCCCGAAAGGGGUGCUAAUACCGGAUAAUGUCUUCGGACCAAAGAUUUAUCGCCUUGGGAUGGGCCCGCGUUGGAUUAGCUAGUUGGUAGGGUAAAAGCCUACCAAGGCGACGAUCCAUAGCUGGUCUGAGAGGAUGAUCAGCCACACUGGGACUGAGACACGGCCCAGACUCCUACGGGAGGCAGCAGUGGGGAAUAUUGGACGAUGGGCGAAAGCCUGAUACAGCAAUGCCGCGUGAGUGAUGAAGGCCUUAGGGUUGUAAAGCUCUUUUAGCCGGGAUGAUAAUGACAGUACCGGGAGAAUAAGCUCCGGCUAACUACGUG
rnacentral:rRNA from 1 species